GACGUAGGGCGCGAGCGUUGUCCGGAUUUAUUGGGCGUAAAGAGCUCGUAGGCGGCUUGUCGCGUCGUCCGUGAAAACUUGGGGCUCAACCCCAAGCUUGCGGUCGAUACGGGCAGGCUAGAGUUCGGUAGGGGAGACUGGAAUUCCUGGUGUAGCGGUGGAAUGCGCAGAUAUCAGGAAGAACACCGGUGGCGAAGGCGGCUCUCUGGGCCUUACCUGACGCUGAGGAGCGAAAGCGUGGGGAGCGAACAGG
rnacentral:rRNA from 1 species